UGAUAAAAUGGGCCAGAAUUGCCCAAAGAGAGCAAAAAAAUCUGUCGCUUCAAAAUCUAUGUUUUUGUGGCCGUUUGCUUUAAAAAAAACAGAAAGGGAAAGUAAAAGAAAAAUUCUCGAUCCAAUUUUUCUUUGACGAAUCGACGAGACGAUAUUAUAGAGACAAAGAAUCGAUGGGAGAAUCAGUGGUUAGAUCUAUCGAUCUUGAUGGAUAGGGCGUUGGUGAAGAUCGAAACUGUUGCUUGGUGAAUGUUUCUCAUGAAUCGGAAUCACGGAUGAAUAAGAUUGAUCAGUGAUUUGCUUGGUCACUUAAGAUCUCCGAGCAAAAACAACUUCCAACUUUUUAGAUGGAUAAUAACAGGGGGUCUUGUAGUGACAGAGAGUACUGGUAGAACUUUAUUAAUGCGACUCCAACCUCAAUCAAGAAAACCACAAUCUUGAGAAAAGAUAAGUUUUUAUUAGAUGUAACCUCACCGCAUACAAUUACUGUGAAAUAUUUAAUAUUUUGUAAAUCUAAACGGUUAACUAAUGUUUUCUCUUAAUUUUACAGAACAAAGUCUAUAUAAUGUAUGAUGAUGAAAGACAUGAGGCAAAGUCAAACAAAACUUGGGCACCAGUAUGUAAUGACAUGUAUCCAACCAUUCUGCAAUGAUAUAAUCUGUAAAUUACUAUUAAACAUUUUUCAGAAUUUUAGAAGCUAGGAAUGGAACUGACUAUCACUAGUUAGGAUUGAAACCGGAGUUUGAUUGAUUGAUUUGGUGUUAUUAUCUGUAGAUAGGAGAAUUAUAUUGCUUUCUGCAACGUAGAACUUUUCCUAAAGUUUAUUUUUCGUGUUAGAAAUAAUAUAUCAAAUAAUUUUAACAACAAACAUCAUAUGUUUGUUUCUGAGGCUCCACAUCCUCACCAAAAACUCAUCCCAGCUUCCAUUCAACAGCUUCUCGGGAGAUUCAGCAACAAUCCCAUUAGCAACUUUAUCUAAGAUCAUUAUUUUUGAGACGCCUGUAUCAUCA